CCUACGGGGGGCAGCAGUCGAGAAUCAUUCACAAUGGGGGAAACUCUGAUGGUGCGACGCCGCGUGGGGGAAUGAAGGUCUUCGGAUUGUAAACCCCUGUCAUGUGGGAGCAAAUUAAAAAGAUAGUACCACAAGAGGAAGAGACGGCUAACUCUGUGCCAGCAGCCGCGGUAAUACAGAGGUCUCAAGCGUUGUUCGGAAUCACUGGGCGUAAAGCGUGCGUAGGCUGUUUCGUAAGUCGUGUGUGAAAGGCGCGGGCUCAACCCGCGGACGGCACAUGAUACUGCGAGACUAGAGUAAUGGAGGGGGAACCGGAAUUCGCGGUGUAGCAGUGAAAUGCGUAGAUAUCGAGAGGAACACUCGUGGCGAAGGCGGGUUCCUGGACAUUAACUGACGCUGAGGCACGAAGGCCAGGGGAGCGAAAGGGAUUAGAUACCCUUGUAGUC
rnacentral:rRNA from 1 species